rnacentral:lncRNA from 1 species
CUCCAGAGAGGUCCCCUGGGAGCUGUUUUUUCUCUCACGGCACUUCAGACCUGCAGCAAGGGAAAAGAACUUUGCUCCUUUGGAGAAGCUCAAGUGACUCCACUGAAACUCUGGCAUUUAUCACAGACAAAAUUAGGUCAGAAGAGAGCACAGAGGUACUGAACUGAAAAGAAAUAAAUUCAUCUUUAGAAGAAAAAAGGAAGUCUCAAACUGCAAACUUGGGUUUAAUUUGUCUCCUCCAUGUAAGACUUCGUCAACAACUUUGCAAAGUUUGAUGGCAAACAUAUCAAGUUUCCUCAGAAAAUGUGAUGGUUGGGAAGAAGGAAAAACAGUGGGAAGGGGAUGAGCCUGAAGAGCUAACAAUGCUAUUGAGAUGCUGGUGUUGAAAAAAUGGCCAUUAAAAAAUGGUGGCUCCAGUUGAUUUUAGCCAAGAAAAGACUUUUUAAAUUAGAUGAAC